UAAUAGCUUUAAAAACAAACAUUAAAAAGUUUCUGUCAAUUCUAAAACAAACUGAAAGCCAGUGGAGUGAGUAAAGUACAGGAAUAAUAUGCUCACUUCUGAAUGUCUUCAUUUAAAGAGGAGCAGCAGCAUUUUGCACAAGUUGGAGGAGUACAAGAGAAGACUGGUUAAUACCAGCAUAAAGCAUGUUACAGUCAUCAAGUCUGGAGCUGUUGAAAACAUGAAUGGACAUCUGAAGAUCACAUUUACUGAGAAAGAACUUUACUUUAGCCAGAAGACGUAGCUGGAAAAACGUGUUUAUCUGUUGAUCGAACCUCAAACAUCUGUCAAAUAUCACUCCCAAAUUCUGCUGGUUUUAAAUAAUGAGCCAGAAAAUCAAAGUUUGACGGUACAAUAUUCAGCCUGCCAGAAUAUCCAAACACAAUGGUCUCAGUUUUACCAUUUUUCAGGUAAAGGACAUUUUCAGACAGACACUGCUUUACAUCAUGAAUCCACUUAAAUAAUGAAUUCAAAGCAUCGCUUCUUUUAGUCCUCAUAGGCAGAUAGAAUUGCGGAUCAUCUGCAUAACAGUGAAAGGACAGGUUGUACUCGGCUAUAAUUGAC